ACUCAAAUGAAUAGACGGGGACUCGCACAAGCGGUGGAUUAUGUGGCUUAAUUCGAUGCCAAACGAAGAACCUUACCAGGGUUCGAAACCAUGCUGCACGCCCGAGGAAACUCGGGAAGCCUUCGAGGGUGCAUGGCAGGUGAUGCAUGGCCGUCGUCAGUUCGUGGCUUGAGCUGUUCCCUUAAGUGGGGAAACGAACGCAACCCCUAUUGCCUGUUUUACGUGUCAGGCGAGACUGCUCCCUUACGGGAGAGGAAGGCAGGGAUGACGCCAGGUCAGCAUGUCCCUCUGAUACCCUGGGCUGCACACAUAAUACAAUGGUUGGUACAACGGGAUGCGAACGCGCGAGCGGGAGCCGAUCCUUUAAAACCAAUCUCAGUACGGAUUGGAGUCUGCAACUCGACUCCAUGAAGCUGGAAUCGCUAGUAAUCCCGGGUCAGCUAUACCGGGGUGAAUACGUUCUCGAGUCUUGUACACACCGCCCGU
rnacentral:rRNA from 1 species